GCUUAAUCUGUCAGAAGUUGAGCGUGGCGCUAACAACGCCAAGGUCACGGGUUCGAUUCCCGU
rnacentral:tRNA from 1 species